GUAAUACUAUUAUGUCCAUUUAUCAAUAAUGUGUCUACUAUUUAACGACUUAUUUAUAAAAUUCAAAGCUGUUUAAACUGAAUAUGUGUAUAUCUAAAGAGAUCUUAUAAGAAGAAACAUGAAAUCUUCCAUAACAGCUGUUUGUUGGUUUACAGUAUUUGUUUUGUUAUCAGUAACAAGCCUAUUAUCAAGUGAGGUUUUGGCUACUGAAGUAAGACAAGUUAAUUGUCCAAAAGACUUUGCUUUUUGUGUUUUUCCUGGUUAAAAUCAAUUUCUAGGAAAAGGGGAAAGCAUAAUUAAAAAACCUGAUAUAACAGAUGAGUUUUGCUAGUAUACAAUUAAAGAGAAUUUUUGCUAAUAAUUUUAAGUCUUUUAAAAAGUCAUAAAAUUUGCAAAAUAUAAAAUGGUGUUUGCAAUUAAUAGAUAUUCAAGUAGUAGAAAUAUAUCUUUGAUAAUCAUUUAUUUUUUAAAGAACAUGAUUAAUACUGGUGUUUGCCUGUAAUAAAAACAUAAGGUUGUUGCUAUGAACAUUUUAGAAAUAUGACCUGAAGUUCUAAAGCAUUAAAUUCAUAACAGCUAUUAAUAUAUUGUUUUACAUGUAAUUUUGGAUACUCAUUGUUUUUACUAUUUAACUUUGUUGAAAUUAAUACUUAUCCCUGUUGAAAUAUUAAACAUAUUUUACAAAUUAUUUUUCAUUUUUAUUUAUAAAAAUGUUUUUUAAAAGACUGUAUUAUGGUGUAUGCGAUGAAUAUUGUAUGGAAAAAAAAACAUGUAUGGCUAUGACUAUGUAUAUGCAUAUGCUAAUAACUGUUGUUCGCCAAUAUAAGCAAUCUUGCUAUUGCCGCAAUAAUUGUUUUAUGAAUACAACCCGAAACAUUACAGUUUGUUCAAUCAAAUAAACAUGUUUUGAAUCAGA